CUGAAACAACAGAGCACCAAUGAGGAUGAAAUGCGCAAGAACAAUACUGAGUUUCAGCAUUGCGAUAGAACGGAGAAAUUCAGACUUGUGCAACAUUACAAAGUACAGAUAUACAUAAGCAGCUAGCCAUAUCAUGACUGAAGGUGGUGCACAAUGUAAGUGGUAGAGAUGCAGCACUACACAUAUAAAUGCAUCCAAGAGGCAGUACAACAUAACAGUUUAUAACAACAAACAGCAAUGCAUCUCAGGUAUAACUCAUCAGUGUUCUAGCACAAAUUGCACCAAUACUUCGCCAGGAUACAAUGAUAACUACAUAGAACUGAAGAGUAAGCGAUUAAUUCAUACCCUGGUGUGGUGCAGACGAGCCUGGGUAACCAGCAGGAGGAUAGCCACCUGGCUGUGGGUAGCCAUGCUGCUGUGGAGGGUAUCCGUGCUGAGGAGGGUACGCCCCCGGUGCAGGUGGGUAAGCUCCAGGUGCAGGUGGGUACCCUUGCUGAGGAGGGUAUCCCUGAGGUGGGUAACCUUGCUGAGGUGGGUAGCCUUGCUGCGGAGGGUAUCCCUGCUGCGGUGGGUACCCGUGGCCACUGGGCGGGUAUCCAUGGCCACCAGCGACACCGUGCAUCAUGUUGGAGAAGAGCCCCUUGUCGCUCUCGUCAUGCUGGUCUUUGCCUCCUCCCAUUGUCGCACCACCAAACUAUCCAAUCGAAGAAC
rnacentral:lncRNA from 1 species